CCUACGGGUGGCAGCAGUGGGGAAUAUUGCGCAAUGGGCGAAAGCCUGACGCAGCGACGCCGCGUGAGGGAUGAAGGUCUUCUGAUCGUAAACCUCUGUCAGCAGGGAAGAACGGUCACUGUGCUAAUCAGCAGUGAAUUGACGGUACCUGCAAGGGAAGCAUCGGCUAACUCCGUGCCAGCCGCCGCGGUAAUACGGAGGGUGCGAGCGUUAAUCGGAAUUAUUGGGCGUAAAGCGGUCGUAGGCGGUAUGUCAAGUCAAGGGUGAAAUCCCCGCGCUCAACGUGGGAAUUGCCUUUGAAACUGGCAGACUGGAGUGUGUGAGAGGAUAGGGGAAUUCAAGGUGUAGGAGUGAAAUCCGUAGAUAUCUGGAGGAACAUCAGUGGCGAAGGCGACUAUCUGGAACAUAACUGACGCUGAGGAGCGAAAGCGUGGGUAGCAAACAGGAUUAGAUACCCUAGUAGUC
rnacentral:rRNA from 1 species